rnacentral:rRNA from 1 species
AUUGAACGCUAGCGGGAUGCUUUACACAUGCAAGUCGAACGAGUGGCGGACGGGUGAGUAAUAUAUCCGAACGUGCCCAGUAGCGGGGGAUAACUACUCGAAAGCGUGGCUAAUACCGCCGACUAUUGGAGCGGCCUAUAUCGGAUUAGCUAGUUGGUGGGGUAAAGGCUCACCAAGGCAACGUUCCGUAGCUGGUUUGAGAGGCCGACGAGCCACACUGGAACUGAGACACGGCCCAGAGUCCUACGGGAGGAAGCAGUGGGGAAGUUUCGACAAGGAGGGAAGCCCUGAUCCGGCCAUGCCGCGUGUAGUAGAAGGCCCUAGGGUUGUAAAGUACUUUCAGUCGGGAGGCGUUACCGACAGAAGAAGCACCGGCUAACUCCGUGCCAGCCGCCGCGGUAAUAC